AUUGAACGCAGGCGGCAGGCCUAACACAUGCAAGUCGAGCGGAAACGAGUUAUCUGAACCUUCGGGGAACGAUAAGGCGUCGAGCGGCGGACGGGUGAGUAAUGCCUAGGAAAUUGCCCUGAUGUGGGGGAUAACCAUUGGAAACGAUGGCUAAUACCGCAUGAUGCCUACGGGCCAAAGAGGGGGACCUUCGGGCCUCUCGCGUCAGGAUAUGCCUAGGUGGGAUUAGCUAGUUGGUGAGGUAAGGGCUCACCAAGGCGACGAUCCCUAGCUGGUCUGAGAGGAUGAUCAGCCACACUGGAACUGAGACACGGUCCAGACUCCUACGGGAGGCAGCAGUGGGGAAUAUUGCACAAUGGGCGCAAGCCUGAUGCAGCCAUGCCGCGUGUAUGAAGAAGGCCUUCGGGUUGUAAAGUACUUUCAGUCGUGAGGAAGGUAGUGUAGUUAAUAGCUGCAUUAUUUGACGUUAGCGACAGAAGAAGCACCGGCUAACUCCGUGCCAGCAGCCGCGGUAAUACGGAGGGUGCGAGCGUUAAUCGGAAUUACUGGGCGUAAAGCGCAUGCAGGUGGUUUGUUAAGUCAGAUGUGAAAGCCCGGGGCUCAACCUCGGAAUAGCAUUUGAAACUGGCAGACUAGAGUACUGUAGAGGGGGGUAGAAUUUCAGGUGUAGCGGUGAAAUGCGUAGAGAUCUGAAGGAAUACCGGUGGCGAAGGCGGCCCCCUGGACAGAUACUGACACUCAGAUGCGAAAGCGUGGGGAGCAAACAGG
rnacentral:rRNA from 1 species